rnacentral:lncRNA from 1 species
UAUUGUUAUAGGCUACCAUGAUGGAUGAACAUAUGAUAAAAGAUUUUAAAAAGAUUUAAAUUCAAAAAUUGAGUUCUUGACGAACUCCAAGUAAGAAAAGAGAUCACAACAAAUUUGAGUACAGAUAAGGAAAAAGGUUACAGCAUUCCCUUGAUUUUCACCUCCAAAUCAGAACAAAUUUAUGCUCUCUUCUCUAUAUAAAUAGUGCUAAGGAGAACCCAAGAAGAGAGGCCUUGAAAGGGAGCAACUCUUAUAGCCCA